rnacentral:sRNA from 1 species
CGAGGAGAACAUUUCGAGUUCAUUAUAAUAAAAGAAAUGAAACGAAACGAAUGAAUGCAUACAAACAAAUACAUACACACACACUGAGUACUCUGCAAACAUUGUUGCACAGCAACAGCAACGCCAACCGCAGAUAGCAGCAGAAAUUUCUGUAGUAAAACGGAAGUUGUUGUCGUAGUCAGCUUCGCGGAAGAAGCACGAAUAGAGGCUAGUGCUAACGUAAUUUUUCUCCAAAGCAACAAUUUGACGACAUUAAAAAAAGAAACGCACCUUUGCUACCUGAGCAAAGUUAACGCAAGCGAAAGAGCGCGAGAGGAAGAGAGAGAGAUAACUCUCAUACAGCUAGAGUUCUUCGAUGGCACAAAGGUUAUCAGCAAUAACAAAGAAUAGUAACAGUAGCAACAACAAUAAAAACAACUGCUUUCAGCAAUAACUGCACCUGCAACUCAAAAGCAAUCGCCGAACAACGCCUAAAAAACAAGUUAUAUAGAUAUAUAUGUUAUUCAGAGAGAGGGAGA